CCGACGCGACCCCUGCCCGCGGCGCCGGAAGUGGUGGUCGGUGGGCUGCGGCGGGCUGAGGGCCGGAGCACCCAUGGCGGAGGGCGGCGGCCCCGACGCGCGGGCCGGGCUGGGGUCCGCAGGUCCUAAUCUGAAGGAGUGGCUGCGGGAGCAGUUUUGUGACCAUCCGCUGGAGCACUGUGAGGACACGAGGCUCCACGAUGCAGCCUACGUGGGGGACCUCCAGACCCUCAGGAGCCUGUUGCAAGAGGAGAGCUACCGGAGCCGCAUCAACGAGAAGUCUGUCUGGUGCUGUGGCUGGCUCCCCUGCACGCCACUGCGAAUCGCGGCCACUGCGGGCCACGGGAACUGUGUGGACUUCCUCAUUCGGAAGGGGGCCGAGGUGGACCUGGUGGAUGUGAAGGGACAGACUGCCCUGUAUGUGGCUGUGGUGAACGGGCACCUGGAGAGCGCCCAGAUCCUUCUGGAAGCCGGCGCUGACCCCAAUGGAAGCCGACACCAUCGCAGCACCCCGGUCUACCAUGCCUCCCGCGUGGGCAGGGCGGACAUCCUGCAGGCCCUCAUCAGGUAUGGUGCUGACGUCGAUGUCAACCACCACCUGACUCCUGACGUCCAGCCCCCUUUCUCCCGGCGGCUCACCUCCCUCGUGGUCUGUCCCUUGUAUAUCAGCGCGGCCUACCACAACCUCCAGUGCUUCCGGCUGCUCCUCCAGGCCGGGGCAAACCCCGACUUCAACUGCAAUGGGCCUGUCAACACACAGGGCUUCUACAGGGGCUCCCCUGGGUGUGUCAUGGAUGCCGUCCUGCGUCAUGGCUGCGAGGCAGCCUUCGUGAGCCUGCUGGUGGAGUUUGGAGCCAACCUGAACCUGGUGAAGUGGGAGUCACUGGGCCCAGAAUCAAGAGGCAGAAGGAAGGUGGACCCUGACGCCUUGCAGGUCUUUAAAGAGGCCAGAAGGGUUCCCAGGACCUUGCUGAGUCUGUGCCGUGUGGCUGUGAGAAGAGCUCUUGGCAAAUACCGCCUUCAUCUGAUUCCCUCGCUGCCUCUGCCAGACCCCAUAAAGAAGUUUCUGCUUUAUGAGUAGGAUUCAAGCGCAGUGUUGAUUACAGUGAGGGAGAAGGUGAUCUGCAGUGGAAACACACCAAUUCUUGCACCCUGUGAACCGUAUCCUGUGCUGCCGACUGCAUCCCGACCAGCUGUUGUCUGUGAAAGAAAGAGAGGAACACACAGCAAGCACAGGAUAAACGAAGGGAAAAUCUGCCUCCGAGGGAGUGCUCUGGCCUGUGCCUUGUCGCUCACUGCCGCACGGACUCGGAUAAGUCCUCAUUCACAGUGGAGGCCCCGCUUCCGAUGGGGACAGGGUUUCCUGCUCUGCCUGCCCUGCGGGGUUUCGUGUGGUCACGUGAGAGGACGCGCCUGCCCGUGAAAGCACUUUGGACGGGAGCAGUCUCUGUGCACGUGCAGACAGCCUUGUGAUGGCUGUCGUCCCUCUUCUCAGAGGAAGUGCGUUCGAGGCGCUGUGGUGCUGGGAGGGCCUGGGAGACCUGGGCUUGACCUUGGCCCUGGCGGAGCAACCAGAGUCCGUGUGGCCUCCAGCACAGCACUGCACAUGUGGACAUAAGGACAACAUGGGCAGUGCUUCAAGAAGUCAAAUGUAUCCAACCUAGAGGACUGUCUUUUAUUAUAAGAUUAUUUCCUUCCUACUUUGGAUGAUAAAUGUCCUUUUAUAUAAUGACAGUGAUAGAACAAGGCAAUACUUUUGCUUUUUAAAGGCUCUUGGUCGCAGAAUAAAAUGUUGGUUGUUCUUUUUCAAUCUCUUGAAUUUUGUUUUAAGCUUGCCUGCUUCUGAAAUCCCAAAGUCAGGAAACCAUGGUCUAGCUAUAGUGUGUGUUUAUGUAUUGGUGAGAAAUUCUUCUUGGAUUCUUAAACAGCCUGUACGCUGGUGAAAGGUAUCAUGGCAUUUCCACUGCCUCAUGGUCCAAGAACAAGUUAUGAGGUCACUGUGUACAGUUUUAGGAAGUGCAGGCAUCCCUGUGGUGAUGGGCCUCCCGCCACCCCUGGAUUCAUGAGAGACACUCACAGGAGGUUUGUGUGUCCUUUUUGGUGAGGACUGCCCCUUAACUCAGGCCCUGGGAGCCUGUGACACCCCCUGAAUGUUGGCAGUGGCACUAAUGGUGGGUCUUCUGAUGCUGGGGCUGUAGGCUUCUGCCUGCUUGUUUGCCUCCCUGCCAGGCCCACGGUUACCAGUCCCAACCUGCAGGGGUCUGGGUUCCCUGCCAGCUUGUAUUGCACUCCUGGCACAGUGCCUGUUUUGGCCACAUGACCUCCCUUCUCACUGUGCCUCACUUCCCUUUUUCCUCCUCCAAGCCUGGCUCCCACAGUGUGAAAUAAAAUAAUUUGCAUCAUGCAUACAUGGUUGGUGGGAUUCAUGUCCCAGCAGAAUUCCGCAGAGGGGAACAUGCAGACUUUGAAGUGCACAGUGAGGUGCGGAAUGAAUCAUACAAAUCCUAAGCAGACAGCAGGAUGGAGAAGUGGGUGGGGGUAGAAGGGCGACUGCUGCUGCCUUCACAAGCCAUUGUUCAGUGUCAGGAAUGCAGUGGAGUCUCUCUUAAGUUGCUUUGAUUUGCACAUCUCUUAGAUACACUAGGUAAUACCGGAAUGUGCACAGAUCCAGUCUGGGUGUGGCAUUUAUGAACACAGCUCUCUUGUGCACAGUCAUAGUUGGAUGCUGUAACGGAGCCAGCAGCGUCCCGCCUUGCGGCGUCUGCACAGCUCCCACCGCCUGUGUUUGGUGUUGGCCGCGUGAGAUGUGACUUGCCUGUGUGCCUGGGGGCGAGCUGAGGAGAGUCCUCACCACCGACCCUCUGACUCCCUUCUGCUCUGGCCUGAACAUGCGUUUGCCUGCAGUGCCCGGGACCACGACUGUUUUUGCUCUUGUGCCUAGUUAAGAGCUUUCAAAAGUAUCAUGGACAUUUUUGAUAUGUUAUUGUAACUUUAAUAAAUGCUUUAUUUCCCUCUAAUUCCUCCCAAAUGCCUUAAUUUUGUGGACUGUUUAUUUCAACAGGUAGAAGUGUUGGCCAUGUGAAAUCUUGGUAUUUGUGUUUUGAGAAGAAGGGACUGGCUUUGUGGAAAGCCUCACAUAAUUGGAUAGACGGCUCUGAAACAGGACUUUUUAACUGCCUUGAGGAACUCUGGGGAUCUGGGGAGGUACCCAAAACAUUGUGCACAUUUAAAUGACCCAACAGUCUGCUUUACUUAGUGGCUUGUGGUUUCUGGUUUGAAGAGAGUUGUGCCCUGAAAAGUGUUUGAAACCCAUGGCUUUCGAGCAAGGUGACCUGUCCCUACAGUGUUCUGUGGGCAAGACUUGCGUUUGGCCCCCAUGGUUCUGUGUGACCCAUCUUGACAGUAGGAGGGGUAAGGUGUGAAGAUUUGGGAUGAACCCGGAAUGAAUAAACUAAAUAAAGAUAUUUAUUCAUCUCUCAGUGACUCCCUUGCGUGUUCUCUGUCUCUGUUGUUUUAGAUAGUUUCUUCAUUCCUUAUACCUGAACCUUCCCUGCCUCUCCUGCUCUCCUGCAAAAGGCUCCUGUCACACGUGGCCCCCGUCUCUUUGCCUCAGACCAGCUGGAUGUAGGUGGCGGAGAUGCUGGCUUCCACUCACCAUCCGUUCUCUCCAGGUUGUUUUAGCUGGGCACUGGGAUUCCUGGAGCAAAGGCUUUGUUUCCCAGCCUCUCAAACCACUGGACGUGGCCAUUCACCGCGGCCCUUCCUAAAAUUCCAUUAACGUGACAGAAUUUUUUUUUAAAAGCAUAAAUCCACUAGGAUGAAACCUCUAAGAAAAUAAGUGAAUGGCAACUAACUUAGAAACACCUGAGAAAUCUCCAUUGCAAGAAAGAAAUGGGAACAUCUGAGAAUCUGCUUUGUAUUGCAGAAGUCCCAGAGGCUCUGGAGUUGGCAGGCUAUGAGAACGGGUGAAGCCGGAAGCCUGUUUAAGAAGCAGUUAGAUUCUGCAGGCCACACAGUGCCUCCCGCCACCCAGUGGAAGACCAAAAGGGGUAUGGUAUUCAGCCUUCAGUUUGUAAAAUCCUCAGGUCAGUAAUAUCCUCCCUGCAGGAAACCAAAAAGAUACUUCUUUGAAGAAUCUCAUUGGCCUGCAAGGAAGACUAGUAUAGCAUAUGUCUGAAGGAAAGGUGACACACAUCUUAUAGUGGAUUCCAUGAAUUAGAAUUCUGAGAACAAAGGCUUUAAGUCUCCAAUUUACGAGAGCUAACCGAGUGCCAACAGAAUGGAAGAAGAAAGCACCUUGCCAAGGCGCAUCGCUGUGAAAUUUCAGAACACUGGGGAACUUCUGGAGAGAAUAAAUGGUACGCAAACAGUAUCAGGUGCCAGAAUAGGUUUGGCAUUCUCAGAGGCCACACUGGAAACUAAAGGAAUGUGGACCUUCCAGAAUUCUGAAGGAAAAUUAUUCCAGGUAUACUGAAAGUCACGCUAAAAGACUUGAAGGCACUUUAAAAAUUUACAUGUAUAUUCCUAUGUGCCUUAGGAAGGUACUAGAGGAUGUAUUCCUCCAAAAUGAGGGAGCAAGCCAAGGAAGGAGAUGUGGCCUACGGCCAGGGAGGACCCUACACAGCAGCAAGGGGACCCGCAGGAGCACAGUGGCAGAGAUUCCAGGCUGGCAGCCGUGACCCGCCGCACACAGCCAGUCCGGUUAGCUGUUGGCACCAGGAAGAUGUCUUAUUUAUUGGAGCCCCUGUGGCCUCUGAUGAGCAUAUUGAGGAUUUAGAUAGGAGUUGGGACUGAAUUACUGUCAAGUACCUAGAAAACCAAGGGACAUAAUUCCAAGGAAAGCAAGUUGGAUAAAGAAGGAAAAGUUAUCAUGGUAUUAAUGCUGUAUGACUCGGCUGUGGUCAGGAUUUUUACAGUCCUGAUAACAAACACCGAAUAUUAACCAUGUUAUGAUAAAACCCUGUGAGGAGAAGGGAGGGUGGAGGCGGACCGAUGGGAAGGGUGUGUGAGCCAAGAGUAAAUAAUCGUCAUUUUCUAUAGAAAGGCCAAGAGAAAACGCCCAGUGCUGACAGGUGCGAGCACCUUGGGCAGACACCGUCGUGCGGAGGUGGGUGUGGGGGGCCUCUGCUGCUGUUGAAGUGGCUCCCAAGGAGCACGGCGGGGAGAAACUGAGGCAGGGGUCGAGGCAGAGCUGUGGGAGGCCCCUGGUGUGCGGCAAGGACAGCACCAGGCCGUUGCAGUCGGGGGCCGUGGGAGCACCGGAGGUGGGAGGCCUUUCCCGCUAGAAAGGACAGCACGUGGAGGGCCGAUGCAGGUCCACGUGGCUCAGUGGCUCCGCGCCAGAGACCCGAGCUGGAGAGAGGCCUCACGAGCUCAGCGAAUGUGAGGAGUUCUCCAGCCACGUUCGGCACCGGAGACCCGCGCUGGUGUUGGGCCUGAGGGCAGCCGACUUGGGAAUGUGUUCAGCGGAGGAUUCACAUUUGGCACCACGUUAACAGGCCUCAUCAAUGCAGUGAAGGUUGGAGUACCUGUAGCCACACUGCUAGGUUCGUGAGCAUCAGGAAGCCCACACUAGAGACAGACCCUGCGAGCGCAGAGUGAAAGUGUUCAGCCAAGGGUCUGCUCUGACCUGGCGCUGGAAAGUGCGCGGCCCAGAAAGGUGCGGGAGUGCGCAGUCAGGGAACCCUCCCAGGCCCUGAACUCGUGCUGCCUAAAAGCCUUGUCAGCACAGCCGCUUGGGAGAGCUGUCAGCUGCGGGUCACCUCGUUCACCCCUGGCAGAUCCACCCGAGGAAGACCACGAAUGCAGGGAUCGGGAGGCUCCCCCCCCAGAGACGGCCUCAUGCAGCAGCCGGUGUUCUCCUGAGGGCCGGCCCUGGUGAGCACAGCUGCGUGACGAAACCUGCAGCCAAGGCCUCACCUCUGACUGCCCCCAGAACGUUCUCCCUGGAGGAAGGACUUAGGUGCGCGGGGAACAUGCGUGUCCUUGCUGCACCUGACGGGACACGCGCCGGAGGGAGCAUCGGAGAGCGGCACCGAGAGCUGCCUCCAGCCGGACGCUGAGCUCGAGUCCCCACGUCCACACUGGGGCUGCCCCCGCUGAGCGCUGGCUGUGGGGAAGCCUGUGGAGCCACGUGGCACUUCGUAAUCUGCCGGAGCCAGAGUCCCCUCACUGUCACUGUGGCAGGAGCCUCCACCUGUGCCAGCUGUCAGGGCUGCCUCAGCCUUGUGCACCUUGAGGGAAUCCCAGGAGCCUGAGCCGCCAGUGGGCCUCGUUCCCUGCUCCCGGGACCGUAGCUGGGGGCUUUCUGUGGCUUACAGGGAAGGUUGACCUUUUCUCACGGACACUGUGGGUCUCACGAGACUCCCGAUGGGUUGGUCUGGCUUCCAAGUCAAACUUCAAGGGAACUGCCUGCUUCCUUUUAUUCUGCUUGGUGUGGAAAUAAAGCUCUAAUUGUUGAAGCCACCUUAGAUCUGGAGGUUUUGUUUAUCGUGUGGGCUGGGCUGACAGAACUGGGGUCUGCCAGCAUUAAGGGUGGAGCAGGAGGGUCCAGGGAAGAGCUGGCUGUCAGUCCACCUUUGGCCUCAUUUGUUUUGCUGUCCAAGACCUCCUGGAUCUAGGGCUUUGCGGGCUUAAUCCUGUGGCCUGGAUGUCAGCGUCAUUUUGGGGCUGAGAGAUCACCCUGAGGAGAGAGUGCGUGGUGUGACAACCCCCAGCGUGUCUUGGGACAUCGUGAGUUUGGGCUCCUGUAUCCAGAGCUGUUGAGGGAAGUGCAGCCCCUAUAGGCAGGGGCCUUGUGGGGUCACAGUGCAGACACACUAGGUGGGAAUAGGUUGUGUCCCUUCUAACUGGGCGUUCAGAUGUUCAGAGACUCUGAGCGAGGGUGUACAGACGUCCUCAGGACCCCAGACCCGUGUCUCUGACAGCCAUGCUUACUGUCAGAGCAAAUGAUCGACACAGGUUUGUCCUGGUUGCCGCCUACGCCAGGAUGUGGGAGUUCUCUGGGGUGCCCGGGCCAGGGGUUCAUACCUGGUGGGCCAGAGCUGCGGGCUGGAAACCACUUGCUGGGGUGCCAAAGAAAUACGCAGGAAGCGCUGCUUGCAGGGGGUGCGCUGGGCUUGCUGGAAGCUGGCUGAGCUGCCUGUGGGGCAGUUGAGCUUUUUGGGGAGUCAGCUAAGGCACCUGCAGAGCUCCCCAGGAAGCUGCUGAUGCUGCUGGAGGUGAGCUCCCCGGGUGUCCUGCAUGCAAGCCGAGUGCCAAGGGAAGCACCAUGGAGCCAGGCAGAGAAACCCCUUCCUCCUCCCAGCGUCCCUCCAGGGACAGACCUGGCCUUAUGCCGGAUGGCGAGGACGAAGUGCGCGGGUGUCACAGCCCGGCGGUGGAGGGUGGAUCUGGAGGGCUGGGAGGAGGAUCGAGAGGACCAGCCUGCCCUCCAGUCACGGGGUCUUGGCCUGUGAGUCGAGCCAGGUCUGGGAACUGGGAGAACUGUCACUAUUCAGAGUUGUGACUCAAGCCAGGUUUUUGGCUCCCAAACCUAAUGCUUUUUUGUUUUUUUGGUCGGUCAGUCGUCUUAGGUUCCCAGGGACACCGUGUUCAGUUAGCUGUUGCCAGCGGCCCUGUGGACUGAGGCAUUUUGUUGCCAGCAUGUAUGUGCUGCCUCCCUUGGCAGACCUGUGUCCCUUGCCUUUGGUUACCAAGUCCUGCCAUUCAGCCUCUGCUCCCCUGGAAUCCCAUCCUCCCACAGAGCUCUGAGAGCCCGUCUCAACGGCAGCACCCCUGGGGUACCUGCCUGCCAAGGAGAGCAGCCCCGAGCUCUUCAGGGAAGCAGGUGCUCCUUCUCCUAAUGUGUGUAAGUCCCAGCGCCUUAGUGGACGGAGCGUUUCGGGCCUUGUUGAUAGAACUCACGUUAAAUGCAGUCCAGCAUUGCUGUCUCCCCAUGCCUUUGGGAUCCCUCCUCCGCGCCAGGCAGACUCCAGCUCCUCAGCCUUGUGAAACGUAGGCCUUUUUUGAGUUUGAGUUGCAAACAAUCAAAUACGCUGUUGGAGUCACCUCCAGCUGUUGAAGUGAGCACAUUAAGUCUGGACUCUCUAUUAACUUUACUCACAUCAAUAAAUUUGGCCUGAUCCAGUGUUAUAUUCCACCCUGCUUGGUCUGACACCCUUGCAAUCCACCUCCACACAUGUUUCCCAUAUUUCUACCGAUACGUGUUAGAAAAGUUUCGCUCGUUUUCUAGGUGUAUGGGCUGUCCUUCCUGGGCACGGGGUGGACUUGUCCCUCAGGAGCGUGCUGUGAUUUGACCCUAGUUGCGGUCUGGCGGCAACACGGUGGUGUGGUGGGUAUUGAGAAUGAGCAACGCUUUCAGGGCGUCAUGACAGGAUUUUCAGUCCCAGGAAGAUGAGUCUGUGACGCCGUGGGGCGGGCGUCCACUGGCACUGGGGGCUCAGAGUGAUGUGAGGGUUCUGUCAGUUUCACCUGGGUCCAACCAAGAGUCCCCGCUCUGCAUUUUGUGGUCCCAUCCUUUCCCAGGCAACACCCUAACUUUCCUACGAGAUACUGGGGAGACUAAAUCAGCUACUGUUUACAGCCAAUACAAUUACACUUUAUGCUUGAUUUUCAGAAAUAACAAUCCUGUGACUACAGGGGAAAAAAAAAAAAAAAA